rnacentral:pre_miRNA from 1 species
AUUAACAUCAUAUGAGGAUCUUGUGAAAAGGCAGAUUCUGAUUUAGUAUGUUGGGUGGGGGCCUGAAAUUCUACAUUUCUAAGAAGUUCCCAGGUGAUGCUCAU